rnacentral:rRNA from 1 species
UACGGAAUGUGCAAACGUUAUUCGGAAUCACUGGGCUUAAAGAGUCCGUAGGCGGCAUGUUAGGUGAGGUGUGAAAUCCCCCGGCUCAACCGAGGAACUGCGCUCCAUACUGCAUGGCUUGAGGGAGACAGGGGUAAGCGGAACUGAUGGUGGAGCGGUGAAAUGCGUUGAUAUCAUCAGGAACACCGGUGGCGAAAGCGGCUUACUGGGUCUCUUCUGACGCUGAGGUACGAAAGCUAGGGUAGCGAACGGG